UCUGGUUGAUCCUGCCAGUAGUCAUAUGCUUGUCUCAAAGAUUAAGCCAUGCAUGUCUAAGUACAAACCUUAAUACGGUGAAACCGCGAAUGGCUCAUUAAAUCAGCUAUGGUUCCUUAGAUCGUCUCAUCCUACUCGGAUAACUGUGGAAAAUCUAGAGCUAAUACGUGCUUACAAGCCCUGACCUCACGGGAGGGGCGCAUUUAUUAGAUCAAAACCAAUCGGGGCUUGCCCCGUCUGCUUGGUGACUCUGGAUAACUUUUGUGCUGAUCGCAUGGCCUCUGCGCUGGCGACGUAUCUUUCAAGUGUCUGCCCUAUCAACUUACGAUGGUAGGUGAUAUGCCUACCAUGGUUAUAACGGGUAACGGGGAAUCAGGGUUCGAUUCCGGAGAGGGAGCCUGAGAAACGGCUACCACAUCUAAGGAAGGCAGCAGGCGCGCAAAUUACCCACUCCCGGCACGGGGAGGUAGUGACGAAAAAUAACGAUACGGGACUCUUUUGAGGCCCCGUAAUUGGAAUGAGUACACUUUAAAUCCGUUAACAAGUAUCUAUUGGAGGGCAAGUCUGGUGCCAGCAGCCGCGGUAAUUCCAGCUCCAAUAGCGUAUAUUAAUGUUGCUGCAGUUAAAAAGCUCGUAGUUGGAUCUGAGGACUCGAAUUGGUGGUGCACCAUACGGUGUUACUGCCGAUUCGGCCUACCUAGUCGGUGCUCGCUCUUGGUGUUCUUAAUUGAAUGCCCUGAGUGCCCGGCAAGUUUACUUUGAAAAAAUUAGAGUGCUCAAAGCAGGCCAUUAGCCGGAAUACUUCAGCAUGGAAUAAUGGAAUAGGACUUCGGUUCUAUUUUGUUGGUUUUCGGAACCCGAGGUAAUGAUUAAGAGAGACAGACGGGGGCAUUCGUACUGCGGUGUUAGAGGUGAAAUUCUUGGAUCGCCGCAAGACGAACAACUGCGAAAGCAUUUGCCAAGAAUGUUUUCAUUAAUCAAGAACGAAAGUCAGAGGUUCGAAGACGAUCAGAUACCGUCCUAGUUCUGACCAUAAACGAUGCCAACUGGCGAUCCGAGAUCGUUUGCUUAUUGACCUCUCGGGCAGCCUCCGGGAAACCAAAGUUUUUAGGUUCCGGGGGAAGUAUGGUUGCAAAGCUGGAAACUGUUCAAUUGCAACUCUGCCUGUGACACCAAGUGGUCGGGUUACUUGGUCUGUUCUGGCCCGGAGUCGGUAGGGUUUCCGGCCUUGUGCUCUUUCCUUACUGUUCUCUGUAACGCCGAAGGCGGGGCUUCCACGGUGGGGAAGCGGUUGUACAAAUCCGGCAAAUCCAGCCAAAUGGGUUCCGGACUCUGUCCAACCUGCAACUGGUAACAGCCUCGGCUGGCUAACAUUUGAGCUGGGACUCGCUUGGAGGAGCGAGGAUAAUAUAAACCUCUAUGUGACUGAGGUGAGGAAUCUGGUUCUCGUAAAAUGGCUGGAGAUCCCGAGCCUGUAAGUCAUAAAUUAGUUCCCCACGAGGGGAGGUGUCGAAUUGAAGCCAGUGCGUGCCCUUACUAGUUUAAGGGAUUGUAUACUUCCUUUGGUGUACCCACCUGGAAGUGCCCAAGGGGUCCUAUCCCUGCACU
rnacentral:rRNA from 1 species